AUUGAACGCUGGCGGCAGGCCUAAUACAUGCAAGUCGAACGAGUGGCGGACGGGUGAGUAAUGUCUGGGAACCUGCCUGAUGGAGGGGGCUAACUACUGGAAACGGUAGCUACUACCGCUAACCAUCGGAUCGGCUCAGACGGGAUUAGCUUGUAGGUGUGGUAACGGCUCACCUAGGCGACGAUCCCUAGCUGGCCUGAGAGGAUGACCAGCCACACUGGAACUGAGACACGGUCCAGACUCCUACGGGAGGCAGCAGUGGGGAAUAUUGCACAAUGGGCGCAAGCCUGAUGCAGCCAUGCCGCGUGUAUGAAGAAGGCCUUCGGGUUGUAAAGUUCUUUUAGCGGGGAGGCGUUACCCGCAGAGGAAGCACCGGCUAACUCCGUGCCAGCAGCCGCGGUAAUAC
rnacentral:rRNA from 1 species